GAGUUUGAUCUUGGCUCAGAUUGAACGCUGGCGGCAUGCCUUACACAUGCAAGUCGAACGGCAGCACGGGAGCUUGCUCCUGGUGGCGAGUGGCGAACGGGUGAGUAAUGCAUCGGAACGUAUCCUGGAGUGGGGGAUAACGUAGCGAAAGUUACGCUAAUACCGCAUAUUCUGUGAGCAGGAAAGCGGGGGACCUUCGGGCCUCGCGCUCUUGGAGCGGCCGAUGUCGGAUUAGCUAGUUGGUGAGGUAAAGGCUCACCAAGGCGACGAUCCGUAGCAGGUCUGAGAGGAUGAUCUGCCACACUGGAACUGGA
rnacentral:rRNA from 1 species